rnacentral:rRNA from 1 species
UACAGAGGUCCCAAGCGUUGUUCGGAUUCACUGGGCGUAAAGGGUGCGUAGGUGGUCGGGUAAGUCUGAGGUGAAAUCUCCGAGCUCAACUCGGAAACUGCCUUGGAUACUAUCCGGCUUGAGGGUUGGAGGGGGGACUGGAAUUCUCGGUGUAGCAGUGAAAUGCGUAGAUAUCGAGAGGAACACCAGUGGCGAAGGCGGCUCACUGGACUGGUAUUGACGCUGAGGUGCGAAAGCGUGGGGAGCAAACAGG